rnacentral:rRNA from 1 species
UGGGGAAUAUUGGACAAUGGGCGAAAGCCUGAUCCAGCCAUGCAGCGUGUGUGAAGAAGGUCUUCGGAUUGUAAAGCACUUUAAGUUGGGAGGAAGGGCAGUAAGCGAAUACCUUGCUGUUUUGACGUUACCGACAGAAUAAGCACCGGCUAACUCUGUGCCAGCAGCCGCGGUAAUACAGAGGGUGCAAGCGUUAAUCGGAAUUACUGGGCGUAAAGCGCGCGUAGGUGGUUCGUUAAGUUGAAUGUGAAAGCCCCGGGCUCAACCUGGGAACGGCAUCCAAAACUGGCGAGCUAGAGUAGGGCAGAGGGUGGUGGAAUUUCCUGUGUAGCGUUGAAAUGCGUAGAUAGAGGAAGGAACACCAGUGGCGAAGGCGACCACAUGGUCUCAUACUGACACUGAGGUGCGAAAGCGUGGGGAGCAAACAGG